rnacentral:rRNA from 1 species
UGGGGAAUAUUGGACAAUGGGCGAAAGCCUGAUCCAGCCAUGCCGCGUGUGUGAAGAAGGUCUUCGGAUCGUAAAGCACUUUAAGUUGGGAGGAAGGGCAGUAAGCGAAUACCUUGCUGUUUUGACGUUACCGACAGAAUAAGCACCGGCUAACUCUGUGCCAGCAGCCGCGGUAAUACAGAGGGUGCAAGCGUUAAUCGGAAUUACUGAGCGUAAAGCGCGCGUAGGUGGUUCGUUAAGUUGAAUGUGAAAGCCCCGGGCUCAACCUGGGAGCUGCAUCCACAUCUGGCGAGCUAGAGUAGGGCAGAGAGUGGUGGAAUUUCCUGUGUAGCGGUGAAAUGCGUAGAUAUAGGAAGGAACACCAGUGGCGAAGGCGACCACCUGGGCUCAUACUGACUCUGAGGUGCGAAAGCGUGGGGAGCAAACAGG